UGCCAGCAGCCGCGGUAAUACGGAGGGUGCAAGCGUUGCUCGGAAUCACUGGGCGUAAAGCGUACGCAGGCGGUUUAUCAAGUCGGGUGUGAAAUCCCGGAGCUCAACUCCGGAACUGCGCCCGAAACUGGCAGGCUUGAGUACGGGGGAGGGAAGCGGAAUUCCUGGUGUAGAGGUGAAAUUCGUAGAUAUCAGGAGGAACACCAGUGGCGUAAGCGGCUUCCUGGCCCGAUACUGACACUCAGGUACGAAAGCGUGGGUAGCAAACAGGAUUAGAUA
rnacentral:rRNA from 1 species